CACUCCUGCGGGAGGCAGCAGUGGGGAAUUUUGGACAAUGGGCGAAAGCCUGAUCCAGCAAUGCCGCGUGUGUGAAGAAGGCCUUCGGGUUGUAAAGCACUUUUGUCCGGAAAGAAAUCCUUGGCUCUAAUACAGUCGGGGGAUGACGGUACCGGAAGAAUAAGCACCGGCUAACUACGUGCCAGCAGCCGCGGUAAUACGUAGGGUGCGAGCGUUAAUCGGAAUUACUGGGCGUAAAGCGUGCGCAGGCGGUUUGCUAAGACCGAUGUGAAAUCCCCGGGCUCAACCUGGGAACUGCAUUGGUUACUGGCAGGCUAGAGUAUGGCAGAGGGGGGUAGAAUUCCACGUGUAGCAGUGAAAUGCGUAGAGAUGUGGAGGAAUACCGAUGGCGAAGGCAGCCCCCUGGGCCAAUACUGACGCUCAUGCACGAAAGCGUGGGGAGCAAACAGGAUUAGAUACCCGUGUAGUCC
rnacentral:rRNA from 1 species